ACGGAGGGUGCAAGCGUUAAUCGGAAUUACUGGGCGUAAAGCGUACGCAGGCGGUUUGUUAAGUCAGAGGUGAAAUCCCCCGGCUCAACCUGGGAACUGCAAGGGAUACUGGCAGGCUUGGGACUGGAAGAGGGGAGAGGUACUCCAGGGGUAGGAGUGAAAUCCUGUGAUCCUUGGGGGACCACCUGUGGCGAAGGCGUCUCACCAGGACGGCACCGACAGUGAGGAACGAAAGCUGGGGGAGCAAACAG
rnacentral:rRNA from 1 species